AUGCCCAGUCUAAAACUGCUUCCUCCCCACCAGUUCCAGACUGCAUCCCCCCCUGUGGAUUCCAGCCAGCUGCCCGUGUCUUCCAGUGUGCUACCUGCAGCCUCGUGGACUGUCAGUUUGCCCUGGACUGCCCAGCUGCGCACACAGGACAUGACACUGUUCAAGGAGCUGAAGGGGAAUCCAGAGAAGCCCUUCAGUCUGACCAUUGAGGAACCUGCUCCAGGAACUGUUGCCUGUCGCCUGGGGGAGCCUUCCAAGCCCGUUAUCCGCAAGUUCUUCUACCUCAACGUGUCAGAGGGAAGCGUGGAGGAAGAGAAAGGACUCCAGGCUGUGUUCAGCACUGUGCUGCAGGGGCUCCAUGACAAGACCCCCGUGCCCCACACACCAACCAUGGGGCUGGUUCUGGCUGUUGGCUCCAUGGCAUUCAUUCUGCUGCUGCUAGCCAUCUGGCAAUGCCUCUGUGUCCAUCAGACGUGCCACAGAUGUGGACAUCAGGAUACCCAAGAGGAUUCAGGAUCCUCAGAUUCACCGUAGGGGACUUUAGCACGUGGAUCCACCCCCCAGGACCAGCAUUUCUGCAAUUGCUUUUCUUGUGCUGGGAAUAGUUUUAAAACAGAAAUACAGAGUUCUGAAAACCUGGAUUGUGCUUGUGAUAGAAAUAGUAUGUUCUUGGGCUUGCAGACAUUAAAACUGGGUACUGGGCAGCAUUUUCUUUCCCUGGGUGGACAUUCCAGCUGCAGCUGGAGCUGCAGAGCUGUCAGUGAUGGUGAGGGUGCAGGAUGGGGGAGAAGAGUAGUAACUUGACAGACUUGCUCUAGAGCUGCCUUAAGUUUGUCAAGGAUCAAUGGGACUGGUUGAGAAAUACAAAGGAUGGGUCCCUUGGCUGCCCCUGACUCCAGCAAUGGCCAACAAUGACUGGAGAAAAGCUGCCAAAAAUUAUAAUAUC
rnacentral:lncRNA from 1 species